rnacentral:lncRNA from 1 species
CUUUAACUUACCUUCCGGAAAAAGUAACUUUUAAGCAACAAGAAGCGUGCUCAAGUCAAAUUUUGCUAUUUGAUUCUUAGCUUCUAAUUUGCCUUUCCAGAAAUAUUACCACAUUAUUUUGAGUUUCUUCUCUGAUGUGAAUUCCAUCAAUUUCAGUAAACAGUCCUGGUAUGCUGUUGCAAAUUACAGGGUACUAAUAAAAAUCGAACAAGGAAAUCGACGAGACUGGAGCACAAUCUAGAGAUUAGCAAUUAAAGCUCAAGUAUCAUCUACUAUUGCUUUCUGCUAAAAGGUUUGUAUUUUCUUCCCUAGUUAUUGUUUUCAUUAUCAUUUUCAAAUAUUUAUGAUGAAACCAUGAUGCUAUGAAUGUAACUUGAUUUGCAUGUCCUGAAUUUUCUCGAAGUGACGUAGAAGAGGUUUUGUAAAGGUGUGUUAUUGGAUAAUGUUUGAUAAUUGGAAAUAAGGGUUGAAGUGUCUGUCUGGAAUCAUUCCUAGUUAUGGACAGUGGUCUCGUUAAUUGUGUUUUAUGCUUUUGUUUAGAAGGCAAGAAUCAUAUAUUUUUCCUUGUACAUGCCUGGAUAUUGAGAAGGCUGUAUUUGCAAGUUUUUUCAUGUUAGUUUUGGUGGGGUUUAGAAUUACUUAAAAACUGUUGGGAAAGUAAGGAAGGACAAGGUGAAAAAUGAGACGUAAAUUACACGAGCACUUAAAUUUCUUGUUAUAAAGUAAAGAACUAUGGAACAUUUAGGGAUUGCUUCAUUCGACUCAACUCUGCAGAAACCAAAUAAAAAAGCUACGAACUUUGGGAUACAAAUUUCAAACUUCUCAUUUAUGUUCCUUCUUUUGGUUCUAGACAUCUUUCAUAUUAUUAAGUCAGUCGUGAUCACUGAACACGGAUGCUGUUAUUUCUAUAAACUGACUUAUUUUAUCUUUCGUUUAAACUCAGGUAUGGAUUCAACAUCUCUUUGCAUAUCUACUUGACUCGAGAAAACGUUCUUUGUUGUGUUAUAUUCUGUUAGGAGGAAAAAUAUUGUUCAAUGUACCAUAGAAAGGAUCAUACUGUGGAUAUGAUUUUCCUGGCUCAUGAUUUCAACGAAAGCUCUUAGAUUUGUG